CAGUCGCCGCGGUAAUACGUAGGGUGCAAGCGUUAAUCGGAAUUACUGGGCGUAAAGCGUGCGCAGGCGGUUCUAUAAGACAGAUGUGAAAUCCCCGGGCUCAACCUGGGAACUGCAUUUGUGACUGUAGAGCUGGAGUGCGGCAGAGGGGGAUGGAAUUCCGCGUGUAGCAGUGAAAUGCGUAGAUAUGCGGAGGAACACCGAUGGCAAAGGCAAUCCCCUGGGCCUGCACUGACGCUCAUGCACGAAAGCGUGGGGAGCAAACAGGAUUAGAUACCCGAGUAGUCCCUGUCUCUUAUAC
rnacentral:rRNA from 1 species